GCCCAAGAUAGUGGAAUGGCUAUUGCUGUGUGUUAUAAGAUAAGGGUAGGAGGGUCCUCAUGAAUUCCGUUGUUUUAAUACUAUAGAAAACAAAACUGUUAUAAUUAAGUCAAAGGCCUUAUAAGAAACACCACUUAAUAUUUCUUUGAUAAUAAGCAUAUAUGCUAAGUAUCCUAGUUGGCCAAGACAAUUAUUUUACUUUAACUUUUGAACUGUUGUUCAACUUUCAUUUGUUUAUUCAACAUCACCACAAACUGGUUUAUAAUUAUUAUAGCUUCAAGUUGGUGUUUUGUUUAAUUUCAUUCUACUUGCUAAAAUAUCUAUAUAUNGAUUUGAAAUCUGUAUCGAAACUUGCACAUGGUUUACCAGAAAGAUUCAAGAGCAAUCCUUCGUUCCUGCUGUUCUCGUUAGUGUACAUGCAGAGCAUUGGUUUAGGAUAGGUGUAUAAUUAACGUUAUAUCAAAUCCUAGUAANUAAGCGAGGCAUGUUUAGUUUUAAACAGGAAUUCAAGUUAAAAAACUUCAACUUGAACCACAGACCAGUACAAGACUUUGUUACCUCUCCGUGGUUUUCAGCUCCAGUGCUGUUGGCAUUUAGANCAUUUUUCGCUCUGUACAANCUCACAUGGGCGAUAGUUCGUAUAGCCGCAUACGAAAGUAUACGUAAAGUAAGAACNCUCUUCCUGUUGACAUAUUGGUCAUACGUAGCUUUGGUUAUCUACUUCCAACUAUCACUGACAACCACAGUGCUUUACUAUGUGAAACAAAGACGGAAAGGACAAUUGGCUCAUGCUUCUGAAGAAGAAGAAGAAGGAGCGAAAUGGUAUUACAAACUCCAGUGGCUUUUCUUCAACAUUGCCNGCGUCAUGGCCAUNGUUGUGACAUUCUCUUAUUGGGCGUUUGUNUUUGAUUUUAAAAGAGANCANGUCGAAAUUAAUGAUGUUAAUGUUCACAUACUGAACACUUUGUUCUUUGUACUAGAUCAUAUUAUUAGCUGUAUGCCAGUACGACUGCUGCACGCGAUAUAUUCAAUNCUNUUUGCAUGUACGUAUGUCAUAGCUACAGUUUUGUAUUGGGUAUUCAUAACAAAAACACCUUUGUAUACCGUUUUAGACUAUAGUUCACACCCUGGUCGGACUGCUGGGUUUUGUGCUGCGACCAUAAUNAUAUUACAGCCAUUGGUUCAGUUGUUUCUUUAUGGGAUAUUUAGGCUGAAGAUAUUUGCUGCAGAAAAAUACNGUCUGACUAGAAAUAGAUUUUACGAUUUAGUUUCUUCGCCAGUAACUAAUUAGUAUUUAAUUUUUUAAUUUUCUUUUUACUUAAAAAAAUGGUUCCAAAAGGUUUUAUAAUGAAAGCGAAGCCCGAAAGGGAGCAUGGGAAAGCAAAUAUUAUGAGUAUUAACAGUGUUUUAGUGUAAACAGAUUGCCUGCACUGAAUAAAACGACCUUCACUACGAGUAAUGCUAUAAUCCAAUCGGUUUCAGUGUCAGUUUCCUUCGAUUAUUAUGACGACCUUUUUGCUACUCGAGAACUUCUUUUUCAAUUAAGUGUAUAUGUAUCAUUUUAAUUUGACUUUCGUUUUGCAUGUUUUUUUGUCGUCCAUUACUUAUUAGCCACUAUAGUUCAUCGUUUACUAUUUUCUAAAUAACAAAUUCAAUUAUUCGAAUAAAUAAAUAAAUUGGAAAAAAAUGAAAAUUCAUGUUUUAGUUGGCCCAGUAGAAACUGUCAAGUUGAAACCUUGCCAUAAAACGCAAGCUCAACAAGCCCAACAAACCAUGCAUUACUGGGUCAUGAUACCGUUACCGACAGUUGAUGUCAUGUUCAUCCCCAGGGCAUGUUGGUGGUUCAUUGACAAGGGGUCAAAAUCUUAUUAGAAUUGAUUGUAUUANCGUUAUCAGCUCACACCACCCACUAGCUUUGUAGUCGCCGGUAAUGUAUGUAUUUUUAAUGUCAAGGAAUAGGUGAUAAAAAUAAAUUGCCAUCGCGCCUAGAUCUAGCCCGGGUUCCUCCUCCAUCCCUUAAACAGGAGUCUUUAGACUACUCUAUCAUUGUGUACUUCUUUCGCGUGAUGUUAACAAUGGAACCCUUUAAACAAGAAUUUCAGCUAAAGAACUUCAAGUUCGACUAUACUCCUGUUANUCACUUCUUUGAAUCUCCGUGGUUACCAGUCCCCGCGCUGUUGGCCAUUAGAGCAUUGUUCGCC
rnacentral:misc_RNA from 1 species